rnacentral:rRNA from 1 species
AGCGAACGCUGGCGGCAGGCUUAACACAUGCAAGUCGAGCGGGCAUCCUUGUGGUGUCAGCGGCAGACGGGUGAGUAACGCGUGGGAACGUGCCCUUCGGUUCGGAAUAACUCAGGGAAACUUGAGCUAAUACCGGAUACGUGCGAGAGCAGAAAGGUUUAUCUGCCGAAGGAUCGGCCCGCGUCUGAUUAGCUAGUUGGUGAGGUUAUGGCUCACCAAGGCGACGAUCAGUAGCUGGUCUGAGAGGAUGAUCAGCCACACUGGGACUGAGACACGGCCCAGACUCCUACGGGAGGCAGCAGUGGGGAAUAUUGGACAAGGGGGGCAACCCUGAUCCAGCCAUGCCGCGUGAGUGAUGACGGCCUUAGGGUUGUAAAGCUCUUUUCUUCGGGACGAUAAUGACGGUACCGGAGGAAUAAGCCCCGGCUAACUUCGUG